GCAUUGAAACAUUGGUUCCCAUAUGAUCACCAAAGUUAAGCAAUGUUGAGCCUGGUCAGUACCUAGGUGGAUGACCACUUGGGAAUAGUAGGUGUGGUAUG